rnacentral:tRNA from 1 species
GUCUGAGUGGCUCAAUCGGUUAAGCAUUUGACUUCAGCUCAGGUCAUGAUUUCAUGGUUCGCGGGUUCGAGCCCCGCAUCUGGCU